AUUGAACGCUGGCGGCAUGCUUUACACAUGCAAGUCGAACGGCAGCGCGGGCUUCGGCCUGGCGGCGAGUGGCGAACGGGUGAGUAAUACAUCGGAACGUGCCCAGUAGUGGGGGAUAGCUCGGCGAAAGCCGGAUUAAUACCGCAUACGACCUGAGGGUGAAAGCGGGGGAUCUUCGGACCUCGCGCUCUUGGAGCGGCCGAUGGCAGAUUAGCUAGUUGGUGGGGUAAAGGCCUACCAAGGCGACGAUCUGUAGCUGGUCUGAGAGGACGACCAGCCACACUGGGACUGAGACACGGCCCAGACUCCUACGGGAGGCAGCAGUGGGGAAUUUUGGACAAUGGGCGAAAGCCUGAUCCAGCAAUGCCGCGUGUGUGAUGAAGGCCUUCGGGUUGUAAAGCACUUUUGGCGGGAACGAAAAGGACUGUGCCAAUACCACGGUUCGAUGACGGUACCCGCAGAAGAAGCACCGGCUAACUACGUG
rnacentral:rRNA from 1 species